GGGAAGGUAGCUCAGUGGUAGAGCGCUUGCCUUGAAUGCAUGAGGCCCUGGGUUCAAUUCCUCAGCACCA
rnacentral:tRNA from 1 species